rnacentral:rRNA from 1 species
GAUGAACGCUGGCGGCGUGCCUAAUACAUGCAAGUCGAGCGAACGGACGAGAAGCUUGCUUCUCUGAUGUUAGCGGCGGACGGGUGAGUAACACGUGGAUAACCUACCUAUAAGACUGGGAUAACUUCGGGAAACCGGAGCUAAUACCGGAUGAUAUUUUGAACCGCAUGGUUCAAAAGUGAAAGACGGUCUUGCUGUCACUUAUAGAUGGAUCCGCGCUGCAUUAGCUAGUUGGUAAGGUAACGGCUUACCAAGGCAACGAUGCAUAGCCGACCUGAGAGGGUGAUCGGCCACACUGGUACUGAGACACGGUCCAGACUCCUACGGGAGGCAGCAGUAGGGAAUCUCCCGCAAUGGGCGAAAGCCUGACGGAGCAACGCCGCGUGAGUGAUGAAGGUCUUCGGAUCGUAAAACUCUGUUAUUAGGGAAGAACAUAUGUGUAAGUAACUGUGCACAUCUUGACGGUACCUAAUCAGAAAGCCACGGCUAACUACGUG